UACAGAGGGUGCGAGCGUUGUCCGGAAUUACUGGGCGUAAAGGGCGCGUAGGCGGCUUGGUAAGUCGGGGGUGAAAGUCAGCGGCUCAACCGCUGGACUGCCUUCGAGACUGCCUGGCUUGAGCAUGGUAGAGGCUGGCGGAAUUCCCGGUGUAGCGGUGGAAUGCGUAGAGAUCGGGAAGAACAUCGGUGGCGAAGGCGGCCAGCUGGGCCAUUGCUGACGCUGACUGCGCGACAGCGUGGGGAGCAAACAGG
rnacentral:rRNA from 1 species